UAACACAUGCAAGUCGAACGGUAACACGAAGGAGCUUGCUCCUUGGCUGACGAGCGGCGGACGGGUGAGUAAUGCCUGGGAAUCUGCCCGAUGGAGGGGGAUAACUACUGGAAACUGUAGCUAAUACCGCAUAACGUCUACGGACCAAAGAGGGGGAUCUUCGGACCUCUUGCUAUCGGAUGAGCCCAGGUGGGAUUAGCUAGUUGGUGGGGUAACGGCUCACCUAGGCGACGAUCCCUAACUGGUUUGAGAGAAUGACCAGCCACACUGGAACUGAGACACGGUCCAGACUCCUACGGGAGGCAGCAGUGGGGAAUAUUGCACAAUGGGCGCAAGCCUGAUGCAGCCAUGCCGCGUGUNUGAAGAAGGCCUUCGGGUUGUAAAGUACUUUCAGCGGGGAGGAAGGGAGNNAAGUUAAUACCUUUGUCAUUGACGUUACNCGCAGAAGAAGCACCGGCUAACUCCGUGCCAGCAGC
rnacentral:rRNA from 1 species